ACUAAAAUCUGAUUUUCUAUCUCCCGUUCCCCUUCUCCUUCCCCGUUCCACUUCUCUGUCAUCCAAUACACGCCUCACAGUCAAACCUUCGCCGUCGUCCAAAACAUUCUCCGUCGUCCAAAACAGACCCUACGGCCAAAGCCCUUCUCCAUCAUCCAAAACCCAGACCCAUAUUAGCUCCAACAAAACCCGAUCCCAUUCCCCUUCUCCGUCGUCCAAAACGCCUCUGAAGUGAUUCACUACAAUCGCAGAUACAGGGAUUUUCACUUCCUAACCCUCGGGUGUGUUGGGUUUUGGCCUUCAACUGCAACUGAAGCCAGUCUCCUCUGUAAAGGAAGUCCAAACCCGAGAUUUGCAUAAGCAUGUACCAGAAAAUGUUAAUGGAGCUCUUCAUUUCUCUAUUAAGGUUGGUAGAAUUGUGGGCCAAUCUGUAAAACCAAGAUUAGUGCUAUUGCAAGGCCUUUGCUACCUAGCCUAUGCUACUAUGCAGAAGGUUGGAUUUCAUGGAGCACAGGAUUGCCAUUUCAUAUUCAGAUUCACUUUGGUUUUCUUUAUUUUACUUUAUGUUUGCUAGCCCACCAAUGAGCUUAAAUAUAAUUUCAAUCCAUUGAUAUCGAACCAUACUAUUAUAUUGUUGUUUUGUUAUGAAAGUCUAAUAUCUAGCAACAAGCUUCUUCUUUUUUUCCUAUUAUCCCAUUUGGUUAUAAAAGUACAUCAUAAAGGUACAGAUCAAUGGAGAUAAAAGAUGAUAUUAUAUCAUUUUUAUGUUUAAUUGAUACAAUGCAUGCAUAUCGUCUAAAAAAAAUUAGGUUUGAGCAUUAUCUUAGCAGGCUAAGACCUGCCAAUUUAAAGUCUAUGUGUAUUAUUCUGGUUAGUUCAUUAGCUCAAGUGAACAAUGAUGGACACGAAUACAUUAUGGUUGUUGAUUGUAAUAUAUAUUUAUUUUCCUUUUGACAUUGUGGUUGUUGAUUGUAAUUUUUUUUUUUUUUCCUUUUCAGGUGUUAGGAAAUUGGGAAUUAAUUUUGCCAAGUGAAGCAUACAAUUUCUUUACCAUAAACAGUCCAUCUUGGCAAAGCUAAUAACUCCCAAGGGGUAAAGUUUAGCUUUGAACGGUAUUGGAUUCAAUUGGAAUUUUCUCUCAACCUGUUCUUUCUAAUUCUGUGGAGUCAAAGAAUUAGUAGAGCUGAUACAUUGAUUGUCUUGAAUA